rnacentral:rRNA from 1 species
UGGGGAAUAUUGCACAAUGGGCGCAAGCCUGAUGCAGCAACGCCGCGUGAACGAUGAAGGUCUUCGGAUCGUAAAGUUCUGUUGCAGGGGAAGAUAAUGACGGUACCCUGUGAGGAAGCCCCGGCUAACUACGUGCCAGCAGCCGCGGUAAUACGUAGGGGGCUAGCGUUAUCCGGAUUUACUGGGCGUAAAGGGUGCGUAGGUGGUCUUUCAAGUCGGUGGUUAAAGGCUACGGCUCAACCGUAGUUAGCCUCCGAAACUGGAAGAAUUGAGUGCAGGAGAGGAAAGUGGAAUUCCCAGUGUAGCGGUGAAAUGCGUAGAUAUUGGGAGGAACACCAGUAGCGAAGGCGGCUUUCUGGACUGCAACUGACACUGCGGCACGAAAGCGUGGGUAGCAAACAGG